rnacentral:tRNA from 1 species
GGACCCGUAGUCGAAUGGCUAAGACGUCCCCUUUACACGGGGAAGACUCGGAGUUCGAUUCUCCGCGGGUCCA